rnacentral:rRNA from 1 species
CGCCGCCCCCGCCCGUGGCGGACGGGUGAGUAAUGCUUAGGAAUUUGCCUAUGUGUGUGGGGCAAAGGUUCUGCCGGGAUGGUGGGGGCGCAUACUUCCGAAAGGGGAAAUAAUACCGCAUACGUCCUACGGGAGAAAGCAGGGGACCUUCGGGCCUUGCGCUAUUGGAUGAGCCUAAGUCGGAUUAGCUAGUUGGUGGGGUAAAGGUUUACCAAGGCGACGAUCUGUAKCGGGUCUGAGAGGAUGACCCGCCACACUGGGAGGGAGACACGGGGAAGACUCCUACGGGAGGCGGCAGUGGGGAAUAUUGGACAAUGGGGGGAAACCUGAUCCAGCCAUGCCGCGUGUGUGAAGAAGGCCUUGAGGUUGUAAAGCACUUUAAUCUAGGAGGAGGCUACUUAAAUUAAUACUCUAGGAUUUUGGACUUUCCUCCCAAAAUAACCCCC